UACGUAGGGUGCGAGCGUUGUCCGGAAUUAUUGGGCGUAAAGAGCUUGUAGGCGGUUUGUCGCGUCUGCUGUGAAAAUCCGGGGCUCAACCCCGGACUUGCAGUGGGUACGGGCAGACUAGAGUGUGGUAGGGGAGACCGGAAUUCCUGGUGUAGCGGUGAAAUGCGCAGAUAUCAGGAGGAACACCAAUAGCGAAGGCAGCUCUCUGGGUCCCUACCGACGCUGGGGUGCGAAAGCAUGGGGAGCGAACAGG
rnacentral:rRNA from 1 species